UAUUAAAUAAUCAAUUAUGAAUUUAAAUUGCAAAUUUAAAAGUAGAUUAGUUAGUGUCUUUUAAUUU
rnacentral:tRNA from 1 species